rnacentral:rRNA from 1 species
AUUGAACGCUAGCGGCAUGCUUUACACAUGCAAGUCGAACGGUAACAGGCCGCAAGGUGCUGACGAGUGGCGAACGGGUGAGUAAUGCAUCGGAACGUGCCCAGUCGUGGGGGAUAACGCAGCGAAAGCUGUGCUAAUACCGCAUACGAUCUAUGGAUGAAAGCGGGGGACCGUAAGGCCUCGCGCGAUUGGAGCGGCCGAUGUCAGAUUAGGUAGUUGGUGGGGUAAAGGCCCACCAAGCCAACGAUCUGUAGCUGGUCUGAGAGGACGACCAGCCACACUGGGACUGAGACACGGCCCAGACUCCUACGGGAGGCAGCAGUGGGGAAUUUUGGACAAUGGGCGCAAGCCUGAUCCAGCAAUGCCGCGUGCAGGAAGAAGGCCUUCGGGUUGUAAACUGCUUUUGUACGGAACGAAAAGGCCUGGGUUAAUACCCUGGGCCGAUGACGGUACCGUAAGAAUAAGCACCGGCUAACUACGUGCCAGCCGCCGCGGUAA